rnacentral:rRNA from 1 species
AGAGUUUGAUCCUGGCUCAGAACGAACGCUGGCGGCGUGCCUAAUACAUGCAAGUCGAGCGAGCUUGCCUAGAUGAUUUUAGUGCUUGCACUAAAUGAAACUAGAUACAAGCGAGCGGCGGACGGGUGAGUAACACGUGGGUAACCUGCCCAAGAGACUGGGAUAACACCUGGAAACAGAUGCUAAUACCGGAUAACAACACUAGACGCAUGUCUAGAGUUUGAAAGAUGGUUCUGCUAUCACUCUUGGAUGGACCUGCGGUGCAUUAGCUAGUUGGUAAGGUAACGGCUUACCAAGGCAAUGAUGCAUAGCCGAGUUGAGAGACUGAUCGGCCACAUUGGGACUGAGACACGGCCCAAACUCCUACGGGAGGCAGCAGUAGGGAAUCUUCCACAAUGGACGAAAGUCUGAUGGAGCAACGCCGCGUGAGUGAAGAAGGGUUUCGGCUCGUAAAGCUCUGUUGGUAGUGAAGAAAGAUAGAGGUAGUAACUGGCCUUUAUUUGACGGUAAUUACUUAGAAAGUCACGGCUAACUACGUGCCAGCAGCCGCGGUAAUACGUAGGUGGCAAGCGUUGUCCGGAUUUAUUGGGCGUAAAGCGAGUGCAGGCGGUUCAAUAAGUCUGAUGUGAAAGCCUUCGGCUCAACCGGAGAAUUGCAUCAGAAACUGUUGAACUUGAGUGCAGAAGAGGAGAGUGGAACUCCAUGUGUAGCGGUGGAAUGCGUAGAUAUAUGGAAGAACACCAGUGGCGAAGGCGGCUCUCUGGUCUGCAACUGACGCUGAGGCUCGAAAGCAUGGGUAGCGAACAGGAUUAGAUACCCUGGUAGUCCAUGCCGUAAACGAUGAGUGCUAAGUGUUGGGAAGUUUUCGCCCUCUCAGUGCUGCAACUAACGCAUUAAG